rnacentral:rRNA from 1 species
GAGGAAUAUUGGGCAAUGCCCGCAAGGGUGACCCAGCAACGCCGCGUGGAGGAUGAAUGUCGUAAGAUUGUAAACUCCUGUUAGAGGGGAAGAAUAGUACCGGUUGGACCGGUAUAUGACUGUACCCUCAGAGAAAGCCCCGGCUAACUACGUGCCAGCAGCCGCGGUAAUACGUAGGGGGCAAGCGUUGUCCGGAUUUACUGGGUGUAAAGGGCGCGCAGGCGGAAUGGAAAGUCAGUGGUGAAAUCCUACAGCUUAACUGUAGAACUGCCUGUGAUACUUUCAUUCUUGAGUUCGGGAGAGAGAGACGGAAUUCCAGGUGUAGUGGUGAAAUACGUAGAUAUCUGGAAGAACACCAGUUGCGAAGGCGGUCUCUUGGUCCGAUACUGACGCUGAGGCGCGAAAGCGUGGGGAGCAAACA